AUACUUACCUUGACGGGGUGAAUGGGUGAUCAAGAAGGCCCAUAGCCUAGGUUGGUGACUUCCAUUGCACAAAGGAGGGGUUUUCCGCCUAUCAUAUCCCCAAGUGGGAGACUGUACGUCAUAAUUUGUUGCAGCGGGGGUACGCGUUCGCGCGGCCCCUA
rnacentral:snRNA from 1 species